AGAGUUUGAUCCUGGCUCAGGAUGAACGCUGGCGGCGUGCUUAACACAUGCAAGUCGAACGGGAAUGCUUCGCUGAUGCGAUUUCGGUCAAAUCUUGAAGCAUUUUAGUGGCGGACGGGUGAGUAACGCGUGGGUAACCUGCCCUGUACAGGGGGACAACAGUUGGAAACGACUGCUAAUACCGCAUAAGCGCACAGCUUCGCAUGAAGCAGUGUGAAAAACUCCGGUGGUACAGGAUGGACCCGCGUCUGAUUAGAUAGUUGGUGAGGUAACGGCCCACCAAGUCAACGAUCAGUAGCCGGCCUGAGAGGGCGAACGGCCACAUUGGGACUGAGACACGGCCCAAACUCCUACGGGAGGCAGCAGUGGGGAAUAUUGCACAAUGGGGGAAACCCUGAUGCAGCGACGCCGCGUGAGUGAAGAAGUAUUUCGGUAUGUAAAGCUCUAUCAGCAGGGAAGAAAACAAUGACGGUACCUGACUAAGAAGCCCCGGCUAACUACGUGCCAGCAGCCGCGGUAAUACGUAGGGGGCAAGCGUUAUCCGGAUUUACUGGGUGUAAAGGGAGCGUAGACGGUAGACCAAGUCUGAAGUGAAAGCCCGGGGCUCGACCCCGGAACUGCUUUGGAAACUGGUAAACUAGAGUGCAGGAGAGGUAAGUGGAAUUCCUAGUGUAGCGGUGAAAUGCGUAGAUAUUAGGAGGAACACCAGUGGCGAAGGCGGCUUACUGGACUGUAACUGACGUUGAGGCUCGAAAGCGUGGGGAGCAAACAGGAUUAGAUACCCUGGUAGUCCACGCCGUAAACGAUGAUUACUAGGUGUUGGAGGAUUGACCCCUUCAGUGCCGCAGUUAACACAAUAAGUAAUCCACCUGGGGAGUACGACCGCAAGGUUGAAACUCAAAGGAAUUGACGGGGGCCCGCACAAGCAGUGGAGUAUGUGGUUUAAUUCGACGCAACGCGAAGAACCUUACCAAGUCUUGACAUCCCUUGACGAUGCUGGAAACAGUAUUUCUCUUCGGAGCAAGGAGACAGGUGGUGCAUGGUUGUCAUCAGCUCGUGUCGUGAGAUGUUGGGUUAAGUCCCGCAACGAGCGCAACCCUUAUGGUCAGUUACUACGCAAGAGGACUCUGGCCAGACUGCCGUUGACAAAACGGAGGAAGGUGGGGAUGACGUCAAAUCAUCAUGCCCUUUAUGACUUGGGCUACACACGUACUACAAUGGCGUUAAACAAAGAGAAGCAAGACCGCGAGGUGGAGCAAAACUCAGAAACAACGUCCCAGUUCGGACUGCAGGCUGCAACUCGCCUGCACGAAGUCGGAAUUGCUAGUAAUCGUGGAUCAGCAUGCCACGGUGAAUACGUUCCCGGGCCUUGUACACACCGCCCGUCACACCAUGAGAGCCGGGGGGACCCGAAGUCGGUAGUCUAACCGUAAGGAGGACGCCGCCGAAGGUAAAACUGGUGAUUGGGGUGAAGUCGUAACAAGGUA
rnacentral:rRNA from 1 species